AUUGAACGCUGGCGGCAGGCUUAACACAUGCAAGUCGAGCGGUAGCACAGGGGAGCUUGCUCCCNGGGUGACGAGCGGCGGACGGGUGAGUAAUGUCUGGGAAACUGCCUGAUGGAGGGGGAUAACUACUGGAAACGGUAGCUAAUACCGCAUAACGUCGCAAGACCAAAGAGGGGGACCUUCGGGCCUCUUGCCAUCAGAUGUGCCCAGAUGGGAUUAGCUAGUAGGUGGGGUAAUGGCUCACCUAGGCGACGAUCCCUAGCUGGUCUGAGAGGAUGACCAGCCACACUGGAACUGAGACACGGUCCAGACUCCUACGGGAGGCAGCAGUGGGGAAUAUUGCACAAUGGGCGCAAGCCUGAUGCAGCCAUGCCGCGUGUGUGAAGAAGGCCUUCGGGUUGUAAAGCACUUUCAGCGAGGAGGAAGGUGGUGAGCUUAAUACGCUCAUCAAUUGACGUUACUCGCAGAAGAAGCACCG
rnacentral:rRNA from 1 species